GACCCAAGGACGCUGAGGCAGAGCAGAAGGGAGGAAAUGGAGGCAUUUCUCAACUGGAGACAUUUGGGCAUAUUUAAAAGCCAAUGGGCAGCCGGGCGCGGUGGCUCAAGCCUGUAAUCCCAGC